rnacentral:rRNA from 1 species
CUCAGAUUGAAACGCUGGCGGCAUGCCUUACACAUGCAAGUCGAACGGUAACAGGUCUUUCGGGAUGCUGACGAGUGGCGAACGGGUGAGUAAUACAUCGGAACGUGCCUAGUAGUGGGGGAUAACUACUCGAAAGAGUGGCUAAUACCGCAUGAGAUCUAUGGAUGAAAGCAGGGGACCUUCGGGCCUUGUGCUACUAGAGCGGCCGAUGGCAGAUUAGGUAGUUGGUGGGAUAAAAGCUUACCAAGCCUGCGAUCUGUAGCUGGUCUGAGAGGACGAUCAGCCACACUGG